CGGGAAGAGCUCAAAUUUAAAAUCUGGCAGUGUAUUCUGUCCGAGUUGUAGUCUAGAGAAGCAUCAUCCGUGCUGGACCAUGUACAAGUCUCUUGGAACAGAGUAUCAUAGAGGGUGAGAAUCCCGUCCUUGACAUGGACUCCCAGUGCUUUGUGUUGUGCUCUCAAC
rnacentral:rRNA from 1 species